ACGAACGCUGGCGGCGUGGAUAAGACAUGCAAGUCGAACGAGAGAAUUGCUAGCUUGCUAAUAAUUCUCUAGUGGCGCACGGGUGAGUAACACGUGAGUAACCUGCCCCCGAGAGCGGGAUAGCCCUGGGAAACUGGGAUUAAUACCGCAUAGUAUCGAAAGAUUAAAGCAGCAAUGCGCUUGGGGAUGGGCUCGCGGCCUAUUAGUUAGUUGGUGAGGUAACGGCUCACCAAGGCGAUGACGGGUAGCCGGUCUGAGAGGAUGUCCGGCCACACUGGAACUGAGACACGGUCCAGACACCUACGGGUGGCAGCAGUCGAGAAUCAUUCACAAUGGGGGAAACCCUGAUGGUGCGACGCCGCGUGGGGGAAUGAAGGUCUUCGGAUUGUAAACCCCUGUCAUGUGGGAGCAAAUUAAAAAGAUAGUACCACAAGAGGAAGAGACGGCUAACUCUGUGCCAGCAGCCGCGGUAAUACAGAGGUCUCAAGCGUUGUUCGGAAUCACUGGGCGUAAAGCGUGCGUAGGCUGUUUCGUAAGUCGUGUGUGAAAGGCGCGGGCUCAACCCGCGGACGGCACAUGAUACUGCGAGACUAGAGUAAUGGAGGGGGAACCGGAAUUCUCGGUGUAGCAGUGAAAUGCGUAGAUAUCGAGAGGAACACUCGUGGCGAAGGCGGGUUCCUGGACAUUAACUGACGCUGAGGCACGAAGGCCAGGGGAGCGAAAGGGAUUAGAUACCCCUGUAGUCCUGGCAGUAAACGGUGCACGCUUGGUGUGCGGGGAAUCGACCCCCUGCGUGCCGGAGCUAACGCGUUAAGCGUGCCGCCUGGGGAGUACGGUCGCAAGAUUAAAACUCAAAGAAAUUGACGGGGACCCGCACAAGCGGUGGAGUAUGUGGCUUAAUUCGAUGCAACGCGAAGAACCUUACCUGGGCUUGACAUGUAAUGAACAACAUGUGAAAGCAUGCGACUCUUCGGAGGCGUUACACAGGUGCUGCAUGGCCGUCGUCAGCUCGUGUCGUGAGAUGUUUGGUUAAGUCCAGCAACGAGCGCAACCCCUGUUGCCAGUUACCAGCACGUGAAGGUGGGGACUCUGGCGAGACUGCCCAGAUCAACUGGGAGGAAGGUGGGGACGACGUCAGGUCAGUAUGGCCCUUAUGCCCAGGGCUGCACACGUACUACAAUGCCCAGUACAGAGGGGGCCGAAGCCGCGAGGCGGAGGAAAUCCUAAAAACUGGGCCCAGUUCGGACUGUAGGCUGCAACCCGCCUACACGAAGCUGGAAUCGCUAGUAAUGGCGCAUCAGCUACGGCGCCGUGAAUACGUUCCCGGGUCUUGUACACACCGCCCGUCACAUCAUGGAAGCCGGUCGCACCCGAAGUAUCUGAAGCCAACCGCAAGGAGGCAGGGUCCUAAGGUGAGACUGGUAACUGGGAUG
rnacentral:rRNA from 1 species